UUUUUUUUUUUUUUUUUUUUUUUUUGCUUUUUUGGGCCACAUCUUCAGCAUAUGGAAGCUCCCAGCUAGGGGAUUAAUCAGAGCUGCAGCUGCCAGCCACAGCCACAGCCACAGCAAAGCCGGAUCAGAGCCAUCACAGCUUGCAGCAGCCCCACAUCCUUAACCCAAUGGGCAGGGCCAGGGAUCUAACCAGCAUCCUCAAGGAUACUAGUCAGGUUCAUAACCUGCUGAGCCAUAACGGGAACUCCUAUGUUACAUAAAUUUUGUCAAAAAAAAAAAAUUAGAAAGAAUGAUGAGAGUCCCUUACACAUCACUGCUCUGGAUUUAAGCUGGUGUUUGGGACUCCACGGUGAUGGUAAGGACAUGAUUUGGGAAUGGGUGGCAAAAAAUCUGAAUAAAACCCAGGCUCUGUCCUCAAGAUGCUCACACCCAGUUGGAGGACACAGACACAUACUUCACUAAUGAGAACACAAAUCAGAAGAUAAUAAGCAUCACAGUGGAGAGAGAUAAUUCUGCUGGAGUACAAAGGAAGAUGUGAUUUUUUUUCUGCCUGAGGAAUAUUGCAAAGCUUUGCAGAAGAGGAGAUAUUUCAGCUGGGUUUUUAAGGAUCAGUAGGAGGCGUUCCCAUCCUGGCUCAGUGAAAAUGAAUCUGACUAGCAUCCAUGAGGUGGCAGGUUCCAUCCCUGGCCUCGCUCAGUGGGUUAAGGAUCUGGCAUUGCCAUGAGCUGUGGUGUAGGUCGAAGACAUGGCUCAGAUCCUGCAUUGCUGUGACUGUGGCAUAGGAGGAAGGUGUAGCUCCGAUUUGAACCCUAGCCUGGGAACUUCCAUAUGCCAUGGGUGUGGAACUAAAAAGACAACAACAACAACAACAAUAAUAAUAAUAAAAUCAGUAGGAGUCUGACAAGCAGAGAAGGUGGUACAUUCCAGGCAGAGGGACCAGCUGAAUAAAGGCCUGGAGUUGUAUAAAGCAUUCAGAGAUGUACCAGAUGGUAUGAUUUGAGCUAUGAUUUUUCCCUUCUAGUGUUCUGCCACUGCUUUUUAUUAAACAUCACAACCAUGGCCUUUGAUCCUAGGUUCUUGCUUUGCAGAAUAUGAGCCUUCAAUUUAAAAACAGAGAAACGAAAAUGUGGAUCUUGAGCCUGGGUGGAGUUUAGCAGGGUCCCCCAGGUUCCCUUGCUCCGUCCACAUCCCCACCCCCUACCCCCUGUGGUUGUCUGAGCACCUGGAGUCUAUUUGGCAGCUGCUCUGCUCCUGCCCUCUGUCCCUCCAAUCCAAGAGCCCCUCCUGGGUGCAAUGAAUGGCUCCAUCCUGCUGGACGGAUGGGCCCUUGUUCCCUCUUGAAAACGUCCUUGCUCGACUGGUGGCUUCUUCACCCCAGCGCUGCCCUCCCUCUGGUGCACCCAGAGGACGAUGCCAGGGAGGAAACAAGAGACCCAUCCUAUUCCCUCAGGAAGAGUCAGCCCAUCUGGCUCCUUCAGCGGCUGCUUUGUUUGGCUUCUAUUUGGAUUGUGAACCCAUUGUUUUGUGUGGAAGUGGGAAAACCAGGACUCGAAACAAGUACUCUUAUAGGAGGAGUUUGGUGCUUAAUGAAUUAUUCAGUGAGCAGGGCUAAACCCAAAGCGUUCUGGAAAGAAAGAAAAUUUCGGCAUGGAUCCCUGAGACCCCCACUGCUGCCCAGAUGAACAGUUAACCGAAUGGUCCUCCCUGCUAUUUGCUCCCUGAUUCACUAAGCAUAAGCCUGGUUUAUUGUGUUUACAAUUGCGCAUCUUCAGAGCAUAACUGAUUCAUUGCAAUAAGAGUGCACUGGACAGUAGAGGCGUCUCUGAACAGGCUUUUCCCUAAAGCUAGGAAUAAUCCCUGCACCAAAGAUCCAGUCUGAUGAACUAGUCAGUGUUCCCAAACCUCUUAUGCUUGGGGGAGAUCAGGACACGGAGACAUCUGGUCUCGGGCAGCUUUGCCCAGGAUAGAAUAUUGUUCUCCCCAGGGGGGAUCUUGUUAGCAAAUGAGGCUGGCGUGCCUGUCUGAGACGGAGGCUCCUCUCUGUGAGCCCUGGGUAGGGAGUCGGGGACUGGACCGGGGAGCCCUGGAACUAGGCUCCCUCCAAAACCCUGAUAAAAAGAAACCUGGAUUUAACCCUGACUUCUCCUUGAACCAGCUGAUUAAUUUUUUUUUUUUUUCUAUCAACUUCAAUUCCCUUGUCUCCAGCUCUCAGAGGCAUGAAUGCUCUGACUGUGCAGACAAGAAGCAGAUGGGCGGUGGAAGGGUCAGUCUGUACGGGUAGGGGCGAGGAGAGGGGAGGGGAAGCAGGCCUGAAUGUCAUUACUUGAAGGGGUCAGGGGGGUCAGUGACAGUGGCAAGGAACAGAUUUUUCCAGCCGCUUUCAGGCUGAGAUUUGCACUGCAUAAUCUGAAUGCUUUUAUCUGUUUCUGAAAAUAGACAGGAAUUUUUUCCACAGGCUGCUCCAAUCUGGCUGGGGAGACGUGAGGGAGGAUGGCCGGGAGACAGUUGUAUGUGGUCCAGUGAGUACGUUGUGUGACCCCUACCCCGCCACGGCCCCCCAAACAGCCCUUCUCCAUAUUGGUUCCCUGAGUCACGUUAUCUUAAUGUCCCUUGAAGUAGGGAGUCAUAAAUGCUGAGAAUACUUUCCAUUCCCAAUUUUG
rnacentral:lncRNA from 1 species